AAGAAGGAAGGCUUCAAAGCGUGGCUGAGUGGCCGGUCCCCUCCAGGCCAGUCAGCCAGUCUCUGGGCUCUACCUCUGUACAUCUGAAAGGUCAUCAGGUCACAGAUACAUUAAUGCAAAGAUGCAUUAUCAGCAGGUGAAUGGUGACAUCUUGGCCCGAAGAAAUCCUUGAUGCUUUAUGCAGCCUGAGUUCAAAACAGCAACGAAGAGCAAGCCAGGCAACGCAGGUGUACCUGCUUCACUUUUCUGGGCAACCCUGGGCUCCGGCUGUAUUUUCCUGUUGUAAGGGUGUGAACACUGAGGCUCAGGAGAAGGAUGAGACUGGCCCCAGGGCAUCAGUUUUACUUUGUACCAUGCCACCCCUCUGUUCUAAAGCUGCAGUGGCCCCCAGCUGUACUCUGAAUGCACACUAUUCCAGAAGCCUCAGCCUCAGCUGCUUCCUGACCUCUGCUGCAGGUGUGUGGUGCCCAUAGCGGGAGCAACAACAGCUAACUCGUCCUGCGAACCUGUUUCCAAGGUCCCAGGAGCUGACACUGGAUGCUUCCAUGUGAUGAAGCAGAAAAGGUUCAAUGUGUCUUAUUUGAUAACCCCGCCCCCCAUUCUUUCCUUUUUCACGGACUUCAUGAUUCUUCUACAAGGACUCACUAUAGACAGCGUCUAUGUGGCAGCUAUCAGUCACUGUGCUUGGAAGUGACAACAGAGAGGUGCACUGUACUGGAACCAAGAAGAAGAGAGAACAUGCCAACGAUCUCAGCCCAUCCAUCCAUGAG
rnacentral:lncRNA from 1 species